UGGGGUUGUAGCUCAGUGGUGGAGUGCUUGCCUAGCAUGCGUGAGGCACUGGGUUCGAUUCUCAGCACCACAA
rnacentral:tRNA from 1 species